UUAAAAGCAAUGAAGAGAAGAGUAGAUAUAAGAGGUAAUUUAAGCGAGUUGACGAUGGUGAGAGGUCAAUAUGAAACUUAUGUUGAAGAACAUCUUAGAGCUUCUAACCGAAAUUGUUAUGAAAGUAGGCUUAGACGGAAUUAAACCGUUAUAAAUUAAACAGUAUCGAUGAUAAUCUGUACUGUAAAGAGGUCAUUUUAUGACAAUUUGGGUGGUACCGCGGAAUAGCUAACCUUUCGUCCCUAUG
rnacentral:ncRNA from 1 species